rnacentral:rRNA from 1 species
UACGGAGGGUGCAAGCGUUGCUCGGAAUUACUGGGCGUAAAGCGUGUGUAGGCGGCCCUGCAAGUUGGGUGUGAAAGCCCAAGGCUUAACCUUGGAACUGCGCCCAAAACUGCGGGGCUUGAGUGCCGGAGAGGGUGGUAGAAUUCCCAGUGUAGAGGUGAAAUUCGUAGAUAUUGGGAGGAAUACCAGUGGCGAAGGCGGCCACCUGGACGGACACUGACGCUGAGACACGAAAGCGUGGGGAGCAAACAGG